CAGCUGGGCUGCGGGAGGGCCGAGUCCGCCCCCAUCGGGGCUCACUUUGGGCAAGGCUCAGGACCCAUCUGGUUGGACGACGUGAACUGUUUGGGGACAGAAGAUGUCCUCUCCCAGUGCAGGUUUCGCCCGUGGGGACAGAAUAACUGCAACCAUGGAGAAGACGCUGGCGUGGUGUGCUCAGGGUUGGACACGGCACCAUCCUCCAACCUGCGGCUGGUUGGAGGCCCGAACCGCUGUGCCGGGAGAGUGGAGGUGCUUCACAACGAGCGGUGGGGAACCGUGUGUGAUGACGGCUGGAAGCUCAGC